GAUGAACGCUGACAGAAUGCUUAACACAUGCAAGUCGAUGGGGAAGUGGUGCUUGCACCAUGGUAACCAUGGCGGACGGGUGAGUAACGCGUAAGGAACUUGCCUGCGGGACCGGGAUAACAGCAGGAAACUGCUGACAAGACCGGAUAAGGUCAUUAAGCCGCAUAGCUUAGUGAUGAAAGGAGACGCCUGCGGAGAGCCUUGCGCCCUAUUAGCUAGUUGGAGGGGUAACGGCCCACCAAGGCGAAGAUAGGUAGCCGGCCUGAGAGGGUGGACGGCCACAAGGGGACUGAGAUACGGCCCUUACUCCUACGGGAGGCAGCAGUGGGGAAUAUUGGACAAUGGGGGCAACCCUGAUCCAGCAAUUCUGUGUGCACGAAGACGGUUUUCGGAUUGUAAAGUGCUUUCAGCAGGGAAGAAGGAAGUGACGGUACCUGCAGAAGAAGCGACGGCUAAAUACGUGCCAGCAGCCGCGGUAAUACGUAUGUCGCGAGCGUUAUCCGGAAUUAUUGGGCAUAAAGGGCAUCUAGGCGGCCUUUCAAGUCAGGGGUGAAAACCUGCGGCUCAACCGCAGGCCUGCCUUUGAAACUGAUAGGCUGGAGUACCGGAGAGGUGGACGGAACUGCACGAGUAGAGGUGAAAUUCGUAGAUAUGUGCAGGAAUGCCGAUGAUGAAGAUAGUUCACUGGACGGUAACUGACGCUGAAGUGCGAAAGCCGGGGGAGCAAACAGG
rnacentral:rRNA from 1 species